CUCCAACAACCUUACCACCGCCCCUUCCAAACCCUAGAUCUGGGCAGUCCGUUCUUCCCCUUCCCCGUGCGCCGCCGCCCCUACAUCUCUUCCUCUCCCUCUCCGAUGCACACACUCCCUGCUACGGCCUCACAUCGCUGGCCUGCCUUUGGAUGGAACCGUCCUGGCCUAGUCCUUGCCAGAUCUGGCCGCACCGGUCGUCGGUGCUGCUGGAUAUGGCCGCUCCGGGCUUCAUCACCACCACCCCGAGUGUGCACUUCUCCACCGCCACUUUCCCGUCGUCUUCACAUCCGCCUCGCCCAGUUCCAGAGUAGUCGCGUGUCUCCUGAGGAGCCCGACCCCGGCGGCCUCUGUAUGGACUCACUCCACCAUAGCUAAGGCAGCGCCACUGCGUCCAGAACACGGUUCAACCUCCAGAACGCUUGUGGCAAGCACCAGAUCGUGAGUUCAAGCAGGUCAACCGCGAGUUGCAUCUACAUCGACAGGUUCUCUUCUUCUUUGUGGGCCUGCACCUUCCGCGUGGGCUGUGGAGGACAGAUGGCGCUGUGCUGUUCGGGCUGCAACAUGACGGGCAGCGGUUCUACUCAGAGCAGCUCUUUCAUGACAACAGGAAUCUUGCCAUCGAUACACACUGAAAAUCGAAAAUGAUGCUUGUAGAAAUAGUUGUUCUAUCAGCUAUUUAUCAAUUUUAAAUCAUGAUAUUCUUCUCAUGGAAGCCUCAAGCGUGGAAGCCAGCGCACAUGUACACACUCAUUCAGGCAUGAACCAAGGAAAAGUUCACAGCAGAAAACUGAAGCUCUAGCACGCGCGCCAGCCGAUGAAGCUCGCCUUAACUCCAUCGCGCAUCGCUAAGGAUGUUGGCAAGUUUGGUAUUUACUAUUUUGAAGACAUCGCAGGAAGUUAUUCAACAAACGGUUGCGACCAAGCAAUUUGUCUUCCUGGACAUGGCUCCUUCUGUGCAUCAAAGCUCAAACCAUUUGUCUAGCUUAGUUCGAAGAAAAAUAAAAUCUUAGUCUUAUGUAAAUUCUAUUUAUUGAUGUAGCUAGAUGCAACUCUACGCACAUAUGUGUUUUGUCAGUUCUGUUUAUUGAUGUAGCUGGAUGUUACUGAACGCAUGUAGGUCUUGUGUAAAUUCUGUUUAUUGAUGUAGCUGGA
rnacentral:rRNA from 1 species